rnacentral:rRNA from 1 species
UACGAAGGGGGCUAGCGUUGCUCGGAAUCACUGGGCGUAAAGCGCACGUAGGCGGAUUGCUAAGUCAGGGGUGAAAUCCUGGAGCUCAACUCCAGAACUGCCUUUGAUACUGGAGAGCUCGAGUCCGGGAGAGGUGAGUGGAACUGCGAGUGUAGAGGUGAAAUUCGUAGAUAUUCGCAAGAACACCAGUGGCGAAGGCGGCUCACUGGCCCGGUACUGACGCUGAGGUGCGAAAGCGUGGGGAGCAAACAGG